AUUGAACGCUGGCGGCAUGCUUUACAUAUGCAAGUCGAACGGUAACAGGCCGCAAGGUGCUGACGAGUGGCGAACGGGUGGGUAAUGCAUCGGAACGUGCCCAGUCGUGGGGGAUAACUACUCGAAAGAGUAGCUAAUACCGCAUACGAUCUAUGGAUGAAAGCGGGGGACCGUAAGGCCUCGCGCGAUUGGAGCGGCCGAUGUCAGAUUAGGUAGUUGGUGGGGUAAAGGCUCACCAAGCCAACGAUCUGUAGCUGGUCUGAGAGGACGACCAGCCACACUGGGACUGAGACACGGCCCAGACUCCUACGGGAGGCAGCAGUGGGGAAUUUUGGACAAUGGGCGCAAGCCUGAUCCAGCAAUGCCGCGUGCAGGAAGAAGGCCUUCGGGUUGUAAACUGCUUUUGUACGGAACGAAACGGCUCUGGUUAAUACCCGGGGCUAAUGACGGUACCGGAAGAAUAAGCACCGGCUAACUACGUG
rnacentral:rRNA from 1 species